rnacentral:rRNA from 1 species
UACGGGGGGGGCAAGCGUUGUUCGGAAUUACUGGGCGUAAAGGGCUCGUAGGCGGCCAACUAAGUCAUACGUGAAAUCCCUCGGCUUAACCGGGGAACUGCGUCUGAUACUGGAUGGCUUGAGUUCGGGAGAGGGAUGCGGAAUUCCAGGUGUAGCGGUGAAAUGCGUAGAUAUCUGGAGGAACACCGGUGGCGAAAGCGGCAUCCUGGACCGAUACUGACGCUGAGGAGCGAAAGCCAGGGGAGCAAACGGG